rnacentral:rRNA from 1 species
UACAGAGGGGGCCAGCGUUAUUCGGAAUUAUUGGGCGUAAAGGGCGCGUAGGCGGCUUUGCGUGUCUUUCGUGAAAUCCCUCGGCUCAACUGAGGACGUGCGGAAGAAACUGCAGGGCUGGAGUCCGGGAGAGGAGGGUGGAAUUCCCAGUGUAGCGGUGAAAUGCGCAGAUAUCAGGAAGAACACCCGUGGCGAAGGCGGCUCUCUGGAACGCAACUGACGCUGAGACGCGAAAGCGUGGGGAGCAAACAGG